rfam:Eurypyga helias contig70153, whole genome shotgun sequence.
CCAAAGGCUCUUUUAAGAGCCACCCACUUUUUUCGGCUAAAGAGCU